rnacentral:rRNA from 1 species
UACGAAGGGGGCUAGCGUUGCUCGGAAUUACUGGGCGUAAAGGGCGCGUAGGCGGAUACUUAAGUCGGGGGUGAAAGCCCGGGGCUCAACCUCGGAAUUGCCUUCGAUACUGGGUAUCUUGAGUUCGGGAGAGGUGAGUGGAAUGCCGAGUGUAGAGGUGAAAUUCGUAGAUAUUCGGCGGAGCACCAGUGGCGAAGGCGACUCACUGGCCCGAUACUGACGCUGAUGCGCGAAAGCGUGGGGAGCAAACAGG